UCGUGCUAGACGGGGAGGUAGCGGUGCCCUGUACCCGCAAUCCGCUGUAGCGGGGUCGAAUUCCCGCCCGAGGCCGCGGUGUUGCGGGGUCUGACCUGCGUAAGCGGCGCUGAAGGUUCGGUCCCGCGCAACGGUGCCUCGUGAACCCCGUCAGGCCCGGAAGGGAGCAGCGGUAAGCGAGUGCGGCCGUGUGCCGCGGGGAAGCCGGGCCCGAGCAGGCUGCGCGGGUUCCGCCCGGAACGCCCGGUCGACGGCGGGUGCACGA
rnacentral:SRP_RNA from 1 species